AGAGUUUGAUCAUGGCUCAGAUUGAACGCUGGCGGCAGGCCUAACACAUGCAAGUCGAACGGUAACAGGAAACAGCUUGCUGUUUCGCUGACGAGUGGCGGACGGGUGAGUAAUGUCUGGGAAACUGCCUGAUGGAGGGGGAUAACUACUGGAAACGGUAGCUAAUACCGCAUAACGUCGCAAGACCAAAGAGGGGGACCUUCGGGCCUCUUGCCAUCGGAUGUGCCCAGAUGGGAUUAGCUAGUAGGUGGGGUAACGGCUCACCUAGGCGACGAUCCCUAGCUGGUCUGAGAGGAUGACCAGCCACACUGGAACUGAGACACGGUCCAGACUCCUACGGGAGGCAGCAGUGGGGAAUAUUGCACAAUGGGCGCAAGCCUGAUGCAGCCAUGCCGCGUGUAUGAAGAAGGCCUUCGGGUUGUAAAGUACUUUCAGCGGGGAGGAAGGGAGUAAAGUUAAUACCUUUGCUCAUUGACGUUACCCGCAGAAGAAGCACCGGCUAACUCCGUGCCAGCAGCCGCGGUAAUACGGAGGGUGCAAGCGUUAAUCGGAAUUACUGGGCGUAAAGCGCACGCAGGCGGUUUGUUAAGUCAGAUGUGAAAUCCCCGGGCUCAACCUGGGAACUGCAUCUGAUACUGGCAAGCUUGAGUCUCGUAGAGGGGGGUAGAAUUCCAGGUGUAGCGGUGAAAUGCGUAGAGAUCUGGAGGAAUACCGGUGGCGAAGGCGGCCCCCUGGACGAAGACUGACGCUCAGGUGCGAAAGCGUGGGGAGCAACAGGAUUAGAUACCCUGGUAGUCCACGCCGUAAACGAUGUCGACUUGGAGGUUGUGCCCUUGAGGCGUGGCUUCCGGAGCUAACGCGUUAAGUCGAACCGCCUGGGGAGUACGGCCGCAAGGUUAAAACUCAAAUGAAUUGACGGGGGCCCGCACAAGCGGUGGAGCAUGUGGUUUAAUUCGAUGCAACGCGAAGAACCUUACCUGGUCUUGACAUCCACAGAACUUUCCAGAGAUGGAUUGGUGCCUUCGGGAACUGUGAGACAGGUGCUGCAUGGCUGUCGUCAGCUCGUGUUGUGAAAUGUUGGGUUAAGUCCCGCAACGAGCGCAACCCUUAUCCUUUGUUGCCAGCGGUCCGGCCGGGAACUCAAAGGAGACUGCCAGUGAUAAACUGGAGGAAGGUGGGGAUGACGUCAAGUCAUCAUGGCCCUUACGACCAGGGCUACACACGUGCUACAAUGGCGCAUACAAAGAGAAGCGACCUCGCGAGAGCAAGCGGACCUCAUAAAGUGCGUCGUAGUCCGGAUUGGAGUCUGCAACUCGACUCCAUGAAGUCGGAAUCGCUAGUAAUCGUGGAUCAGAAUGCCACGGUGAAUACGUUCCCGGGCCUUGUACACACCGCCCGUCACACCAUGGGAGUGGGUUGCAAAAGAAGUAGGUAGCUUAACCUUCGGGAGGGCGCUUACCACUUUGUGAUUCAUGACUGGGGUGAAGUCGUAACAAGGUAACCGUAGGGGAACCUGCGGUUGGAUCACCU
rnacentral:rRNA from 1 species